GAUGAAGAACGUAGCGAAAUGCGAUAAGUAGUGUGAAUUGCAGAAUUCAGUGAAUCAUCGAAUCUUUGAACGCACAUUGCGCCCUUUGGUAUUCCUUAGGGCAUGCCUGUUCGAGCGUCAUUUGAAACCUCAAGCUCAGCUUGGUGUUGGGUGUCUGUCCCCGCCUCACCGCGGGGACUCGCCUCAAAAUCAUUGGCGGCCGGUACGUUGGCUUCGAGCGCAGCAGAAACGCGAACUCGAGGCCCGGCGGAUCGGCGACCAGAAGUCACUUCUUCACAGUUUGACCUCAGAUCAGGUAGGGAUACCCGCUGAACUUAAGCAUAUCAAAAGCGGAGGA
rnacentral:misc_RNA from 1 species